CCUACGGGAGGCAGCAGUGGGGAAUAUUGGACAAUGGGCGCAAGCCUGAUCCAGCCAUGCCGCGUGAGUGAUGAAGGCCCUAGGGUUGUAAAGCUCUUUCACCGGAGAAGAUAAUGACGGUAUCCGGAGAAGAAGCCCCGGCUAACUUCGUGCCAGCAGCCGCGGUAAUACGAAGGGGGCUAGCGUUGUUCGGAAUUACUGGGCGUAAAGCGCACGUAGGCGGAUAUUUAAGUCAGGGGUGAAAUCCCAGAGCUCAACUCUGGAACUGCCUUUGAUACUGGGUAUCUCGAGUAUGGAAGAGGUGAGUGGAAUUCCGAGUGUAGAGGUGAAAUUCGUAGAUAUUCGGAGGAACACCAGUGGCGAAGGCGGCUCACUGGUCCAUUACUGACGCUGAGGUGCGAAAGCGUAGGGAGCAAACAGGAUUAGAUACCCUGGUAGUCCACGCCGUAAACGAUGAAUGUUAGCCGUCGGGUAGCAUGCUAUUCGGUGGCGCAGCUAACGCAUUAAACAUUCCGCCUGGGGAGUACGGUCGCAAGAUUAAAACUCAAAGGAAUUGACGG
rnacentral:rRNA from 1 species